AUUCUCAUCUCUCUCUCUCUCUCUUCGUCGGUUCUUCUUUCUCUCUUCUUCUUUCUCUUUUGCAUGUUCUUCAUCGAUUGAUCACUGCUACGUCCUCCUCCAAAUCCGUCAAUGAAAUCACCGUGGAGAUUUGGUGCCAUCGACUUGGUUCCAUCUAUUUGGUUCCAAAACUCGUUGUAUUCGAAAGACCUGGGAGAUUGGAAGAAUAUGGAACCAAAUCAAUGUAAUAAGAGAUAAAGCUAUGGUGGGUUUGAGAGAGAACACGGUGGAAACGUUAAGGCAAAGGUCUGAUAAUGUACAUUACCCACUCUCUGGCACAGAUCAAACAUGGGCAAAGCAUCUUUCUUUCACUUAAGUUGGCAAGAGUUUUUGCAGGUGGAGCCAAGACAAAAAGCAGACCACAUGUGACAGAAGAGGACAAUAAGAAAUUGAAGAGGACAAGAAGAAAAAGAAGCUUUAUAGCUUGUGAGUGGUGGCAGUCAACAUGUGACAAGAAGAAGACAUUUCAAAGCUUGGUUCACGUAAAUGUGUGGCCAACAUGUGACAAGAAACACAAGUUCUGUUUCAUUUUUUUCUUUAUAAGCUUUGCAAUAUGACUUGAUGUUAUGAAAGCAUG